rnacentral:misc_RNA from 1 species
UACACGCGACGUAUCGAAAGGAUAUGCCGUAUGCGCACCUCAACAGCAGCUGGCAGAUUAGAUACACACUUGAAAGCCCGGCGUGUCUUUCUCUCUCUCUCUGCAAGACGAAAGAGUGGAAGAGCCUAGGCGGUAAAAAAAAAGAAAACGCAAACUAAACCAAGACAAAAAAAAAGGCACGCUGCUGUUUGAAGCGAAUGCGCCGUGCGGGAUGGCGCGCGGUGACACCGACAGCCGCUGUGGUCGGCAGUACUCGUGUGUCCCAGGCACUCGCGUUGCCAUCGUCUGCGUCGUCCUGGUCAUUGUGCGACUGCUCGUACGUGUCGGCUCAGUGCCGCUUUCAUCACGCUGUUGGCCUCCUUGGGCGCACGCGGAUUACCCGCUUUGAUCUGCGCAAGCACGAGAUGGAGAAACGGCGUCUUCGCGAGCUGGAGAAGGCCGGCAUCGACCCGACGGACGACGACGACGCGCCGUGGAUCGCCCCUGAGGAGCAGCAGCGGCUGGACGAGGAGGAGGAGAGGCGGCGUGCCGAGAUGGAGGAGCAGCGGCAAGCGUUUAUAAAGAAGCGUGCUGAGGAGGAUGCGGUGAAGCGGCAGAAGUUCAAGGAGUUCCGAGCGAAACAGAUUGCCAUGAGUCGGCACCGCAAGGAGGCAGCGGCAGAGAAGAAGGAGGAGGCGCGGCAGCACCGUCAGCAGACAAGCCGUGUCGAGGUUGCUAAGGAGGCGAAUGCUGCGGAGGAUGGCGUGGAUGCCAAAGGCGCAUCUCACCACGGCACACAGUAGGGGAGGAAACAGCCGCCGCAGUGCUGCUUCCAUCGCCGUGCACGUGCCUUCUGCGGCUUGUGCAUACACGGUAGGAGCUGCCCACGGGAGCUCACACCGUCCUGACCGUGUUCCCCACAUGACGUGGACACGGCUCAUUUUUGUCGUUCUGUUUUCUCACAUAUCACGGACAAAAUGUCGAACACACGCCAAGCGGCGCAUCUUUCUCCACCCCACUCAUCUGCAUCUACGGCCUCAUCAUGGGCUGAUGCACCUCUGGGAUUGAGAUACGCAUGCAUGUGUGCGAGCCGUGGUAGUGAAUAUGCCCUUUCGUGCAUCGUGCCUCCGCUUUAGGAGAGAGAAGGGGGUGGGGCGUCGGGGGAGAUGUGCGCAUGUGUGUGAUCGCUUUCUCGCUUCCUGGCGCUCCCCUCAAGGAGCACGGAACGACGCUUUUCGUUUCUCAUCCUCGCAGGUAUGCGAAGUCGAUGCACCCCCGUCCCCCUCACAAACGGACGCACGGGAUGCCGUGUCUGCUCUCACGGUGCUCGGCAUGCGGCUUCUCCCAUUUGAUUACCCCCCUCCCUCCUCUCCGUGUCUGUCCGUCUCUCCCCUUUUUAAAUCCUUUGCAUCACAAUGUGACUCGCGUGCACUUCUCCACCCUGACCACCUCGGCGCGUGCAUUGCGCGGCCACACCCUGCAUGGCUUCAUCAG